AAUAGAAAUUUGAUGUCUUCUUUCCAUCCUGGGAAUGGACAUAAUGAUAGUCGGAGGUCUGUGUUUUAUGCCAAUGAAAAGUGGGAAUUUUUAGACCCAACCCCUAAGGACCUAGAGGAGUCCAUAGUACAGGAAGAAAAGAAGGAGCCAACCCCUGAAGGAAACAAAGUUUCACAAAGGCUGAAAAAUUUGCCUCAUACUUCCCUCAAAGCCAAACAGUUGCUUCAAACUUCAUCUACAAAUAGAGGAUUUGUACCUCAAUUGAUGGAAUAUUGGUAAUUCUUCUACUCCAUUUGAAGAUGAAAAAUAAAGGCCAAAAUCAUAGGCCUGGCACAGAAGCUGGAUAAUGAAGACAGCUCCGGAGGAACACAUAGAUACACACACAUAUAGACACACACAUAUAUAAAGUACACAGACAUAUUAUUUUUAAAGUUUAUUUUUUAAAGUUUUAAAGUUUCUAAAAUGAAAGCUGGCCCUGCCUCUCUCCCAGAGUGAGCGGAGACAGCGGUUGCAUGAGCAGCUUUCCUUGUGAGGCCACAGGUCCCUCUGGACACGCUGCUGCCUGACCAUGCCUCCUUUCCCUUUCAGCUUUCUCAUAGACCAAUGGGCUUGGAGCAUUAAGGCCAUACCCCUAUUAUGCAUUCUAGUGCGACCUUGUUUACACCUCCCCUGGCUCAGUCACACAGCUGUGUGGUAGGCUACUAGAAGUGUUUAGUAGUUGUCACUGGGAUCAUGCUGAUGUGGCCCCAUCCCCGCCUCUCCCUGCCCUGUGAUAUCGGAGGAAACCUGACAGAGCAAAUUGGCCAUGGCCAAGAAAAAGGAAAAGAAAGAGUGCCACCAAAAGCAGGGAGCCCUAAGGGAGCAGUUACAGGAGUCUGAGGAUCUGGCCAGCCGCCUUUAGUAUUCCAGGCAGUGUGUGGGAGAGUUGGAGCAGGCUCUCUGCUGUCUCCACACAGCAGAAGAAAGCAGACAGGGUGCAUGACACUGCAUUUCCACCUAGGUGACGGAGCUGGACUCCAUCUCAAAACAAACAAACAAACAACAACAAAAAAAAAAACAAAUGAGACCAUGGGCUUGGAAAUGCCUUGAAAAAAUGUCAAGUGUGAUUCAGAGUGAGGAAGUAUUACUGUGGAAUAGUUACUGUAGCUAUUGUUACCGGUCGGCCAACUGCUCCUCUGCCUGCUAUAUCCUGACUUAACCUUGGUCUGUAUUUGCCGUACAACAAGGAGUUAACCAAAGAGAGAGACGCCCUCAGGCUGGAGUUAUACAAGAACAGUUCAUUCCUUUCUCUACUGCUUCUGGCCAUAACCGAAGCAAUGAGGACCUGAAGCAGGAGAAAUCAGAAUUGGAAGAGAAGCUUCAAGUCCUGGUGACUGAGAAGGCUGGCAUGCAGCUUAUUUUAGAAGAGCCGCAAAAGAAAUUACAAAUGAUGGCACUCCUGCUUCAACAGGCUAGGGGCCCAAAUCUAAACUUCUCACUCUUCACCAUCCAGUUUUCAAGGCACUGUGAAGCCCCUGAUGCGAAACAGCAGUUACCGCAGGCCAUGGAGGAGCGGGCACAGCUGAAAGCACAUCUAGGGCAGGUAAUGGAGUCAGUUAGAUAACUACAAACGGAGAGAGAUACGUAUGCUGAAAAUCUGAAAGGAGGGAGGGCCAUGUGGUGUCAGAGGAAGCAACAGAUGUCGGAGCAGGUGUGCACAUUGAGAGAGGAGAAGGAGGAUAGCAUGAGUUGGGUAUAAGAACAGUAGAUGAGCUUGGCUGAAAGCAGGGCCCUCCAAGGUGGAGCAGCAGCUACAAGCAGAGGCUGACCACCUGCAGAAGGAGCUGGAGAGUCUGGCAGCUCCGAGCCCAGGAGCAAGACACUGAGGGCUUCAGUCACCCGAACCAGGAGUAGGAGGAGAGGCUGCUGGAGCUGGAGCAGGUGGCCGAGCUCUUGCGGGAGCAGGCAGAGUCACGCAGGCAAAUCCUGGAGACCAUGCAGAACAAAUGCACCACCAUCAGCCACGUGCUCACCCAGAACCACAAGCUCAAAGAGCAGCUGUCUCCGCUGCAGAACGGAUUCAUAAAGCUGGUGCCACGGGAGGCAGACACCAAGUUCUGGGGUCUCCAGCUGCAGUGGGUGGCCGCCAAUUGCUUCUCUCUGUCCAGACUAAUGAGAACAUGGAGAUCACCAGUGCACUGCAGUUGGAAUAGCACGUAAAGAGGGAGCUGGGAAAGAAGCUGGGCAAGCUAAAGGACAUGGUAACCCUGCCCCAUCCAAGAAGAGCUGGAAGGCGGGCACCAGCCUCUGGGGAGGGGAGGUGUGAAGCCAGAGGCAGCUCCAGCCUGGGGGACAGGUGACCCCAGCACCCUCCAGGGCAGUCCUGUGACUGUUUCUUGCUUCCCGCCCUCUGACAUUUAGUGGUGGGUUCGUUCUUCCUAGGUCUGGACAUCAUCAUCCCAGCUGGAGUCAUGGAGCCUCCCAAACAUAGGGAAAGAGAUGGUGGUAUAAGAGGUUCCUUAGAGUCAAACUAGAUUCCGGCCUUGGCUCCACUGGUCACCUACUUUUCAUCUCUAAGUCUCGGUUUCUUUAACUUAAAAGGGAAGUUAGCACCUUCCUCUUGGAGGUGCUGAGGAUUAAAUGAGAUAAUACGUGGAAAGCAUUAGGCAUGUAGCACAGUUAGCAGAUGGUGGUUGGCUCCCUCUGCUUUUCCAUCAGUCUGUGGCCUAGUUUAAAUGGUGGGAGGAAGGGUGUGAGAUUUAAGGCUGGUUGUAAGGGAUCAGUCAGUGUAGUUGGAAAAAUUGUAAGAUGAAGUUAUAGGAUAUAGACACAAACCUUCCUGGAAGGCCAGAAAGUCUGCAUAGCUUCAAUAAAGGAUUUGGCUGAAAGCAGCGUAAUCCCCUUUACCUUGAGUUGAUAGCAAUAGAGCAAAUAACAUGGGAACGUGGGGGAGUUUAUUGAAUAGCUUGUUUACUCAUGUGGUCCUAAGACCAACCUUUGAUUAUCCACGGGUGCAUGAUUGCUCUCUACUCGGUGGUCGGCAAAUUUAAUUACCCACAGGUGUGUUGACUCAAAGCCUCUGUCAUUAAAUCUAUGCUGAAUAAAUGCCGUCAGGGCCAGCUAGUCAAGGUGCACAACUCUUUUUGUGCGUGGUGUGGCCCCUUAGCUGCUCUGUCACUGAAUAUUGGUGUCUGAGUAUGUUAUUCAUCUGCCGUGCAACUGGGGUUUGCAGGACAGACCCCUGCAAGUGGUGUCCCGCGUGAGGCACACUGUGAAGGAUCACAACGGACCCCUCGAAAACAAAGGUGAAAAGAACUGCACAGUCAAUAAGUCAGUAAGUCAUUGAUGCCCGCUCGGAAUUUCCAAGUUUGGCGGGGAUUGUUCAGGCUAGGGUUUCAUCAUGGGACAACAGUUAUCAGCUCAACAGGAACAGUAUAUAAAAGUAUUGAAGCAGCUGCUUAAAACUAGUGGAGCCUCAUUUUCACAGGCUCAAUUAAGGGACCUAAUGCAAACUGUUGUCUCACAUAACCCAUAGUUCCCAGAAAAAGGAACGCUAGACGUAGAGCUCUGGGAACAAGUGGGGAGAAAUCUUAAUCAGCAUCAUGUGCAAGGGCAAUGGGUCCCAGUAUCAUCUUUAAUGCUAUGGGCCUUAGUCAGGGCAGCCCUGGCUCCAUUAUACACAGAAGAGCCUAAAAAGGGGAAGGAGGAGGAACCGUCACCUGCUUUACCACCUCCUUUUCCCUCAGCCCCAAUAUCGCCAGGCCAAAAUAACAAAGAGGAAAUGGAGGUUUUGCCUGAGCCCCCUCCUCCAAUAAAUAGGAAAAAAGACAAGAGCUAUGCUACAGCUAUGGGACCCUUUCUUAGGCAAGAGGCAUUAAGUGGGGAGCUCUUAGCCUGCCUGGUAAUACAAGAUUGACAGGGCAAUUGGGUAUAUAAACCCAUUUCUUUUAACAUUUAUAAAAAGUUAAGAAAAAGCAUUAGAGGCUGAAACCGCGUGGCCAAAUGGGUGGUAGGCAGAAGGAAAUACUUGGCAGCAAAGGAAGCUCGCAGACCUGGAGCCAGCAAGUGCUUCCAGGAACUCAGCCUGCACAGAGGCAGCAGUGACAAGGAGCCAGGCGCAGCACACCAGAGCUGGCCUGAUAGGGAGGGGCAGGAGGCGUGCACGAAGGUCCGCCCAGCGGCAGCAGGGUGAGGGAGCAGCACAGACAAAAGGUGGCACAGACAAAAAGCAGCGCCUGAGCAAGCGCAACAUGACCGCCGCCCCGGGACCCGCCGGCUAGACUCUCUGGCUCCGCGGGUGGCCCAUGGCAAAAUUUCAUGUGUUCCUUGUAUACAAGCGACAUCCCAGAUUAUAAUUCUCUGCUAAGAUUUAAGUACAAUUUAAGAAUUUAAAACACCUCUUUCUAAUAAUGGCCACUGUUGCUUUUACACUAUUCCCCUGGCAAAGCAAGACAGAAAAAUUUGCAUUUACAAUACCAGCUAUCAAUAUUGAAAGGUCAGCUUGCCGAUUUCAUUGGAAAGUGCUUCCUCAAGGAAUGCUAAACAGUGCUGCCAUGUGUCAGUAUCAUGUAAAUCAAGCUUUGUUCCCCAGUAGAAAAGAAUUUCCUCAUUGCAAGGUUAUUCAUUUUAUGGAUGAUAUUCUACUAGCAGCCCCAGUGGAGCCAGUGCUUUUAAGUUUAUAUACCUCUGUCAUAAAGAAUGCACAGCUAAGUGGUUUAAUCAUUGCACCUGAAAAAGCACAAAUGUCCUCUCCUUGGAAGUAUCUUGGGUACAUACUUCCUGGUCAGUAAGACCUCAAAAGGUUAAAUUAAAUACUAGCAACUUACACACCUUAAAUGAUUAUCAGAAAUUACUAGGUAAUUUUAACUGGCUUCACCCCACCUUGGGCAUUCCUACUUAUAAGCUGCAAAACCUGUUUUCUAUCUUAAAGGGUAACACAGCCCUGGAUUCUCCGAUGCAAAGCCGGAAUAAGAGCAAUGACCACCAUGCCUGACAGACCUGUUGCUGCGCACACCUGUACUCUCCAAUGAACAAGACUGAAUGCAAAAAAAACAGAAAAUGGGGAGAUUUAGGGGAUCAGUCAGUGUGGUUGGAAAAUUGUAAGAUGAAGUUACAGGAUAUAGACACAAACCUUCUUGGAAGGCCAGAAGGUUUGCAUAGCUUCAGUAAAGGAUUUGGCUGAAAUCCUUUUUACCUCUAAUCCCCUUUACCUUGAGUUGAUAGCAAUAGAGCAAAUAACAUGGGAAUGUGGGGGAGUUUAUCUGAAUAGCUUGUUUACUCAUGUGGUCCUAAGACCAACCUUUGAUUAUCCGCAGGUGCAUGAUUGCUCUCUACCUGGGGGCAGGGGGAGUUAAUUACCCACAGGUGUGUUGACUCAAAGCCUUUGUCAUUAAGUCUGUGCUGAAUAAAUGCCAUGAGGGCCAGCCAGUUAAGGCCUGUGGCCGCCACAACGAGCACCUGGAAGCUAUCAGCCAGCAGAACCAGCAGCCUCAGGCCCAGUUGAGCCUCAUGGCUCUCCCUGGGGAAGGUACCGGAGACUGCUCACAGGAAGAGGAGAGAGCCCCAGGAGGAAACGGGAACUGUUAGCAGCAUAGGAUUGAGGAGCUGAAACAGACUUUUAGAACAGCUGGUCAUUAUGCCAACCAGAGGAGAUGGACAGUGAGGAGGAGGAGGAGGUGCCUCAGCCCAUGCCAAGCAUCCCGGAGGAUCUAGAGAGCCAGAAGGCCAUGGUGGCAUUUUUCAACUCAGCUGUAGCUAGUGCCGAGGAGGAGCAGGCACGGCUAUGUGGGCAGCUGAAGGAGUGCACUGCCAGCGCCUGGCUCAUCUGUUGGCCUCGGCCCAGAAGGAACCUGAGGCAGCAGCCCCAGCCCCAAGAACUGGGGGUGAUCCCAUGUGUGGGGAGACCCACCAGGCCCUGCAGGGGGCCAUGGAGAAGCUGUGGGUGAAGCUGCUGGAGCUGGCGUGGCUUGUGGACGACUGCAACAAGUGGCAUAGCAGAUUCCUGGCAGCUGCCCAGAACCCUGCUGAUGAGCCCACUCCAGGGGCCCCCGCCCCCCAGUAGCUUGGGGCUACUGACAAGCCAGGGUAGUGAGUAGAGUCCUCAGGCACAGUGGGCACGCAGGAGCAGGGGAGGGCUCCCACAGCACCCUGCCUCCCUCUCUCCAAAGAUCUUUGUGAGGUGAGCCUUGCCAGCAGUGGGGAGUCUGCACAAGGAGAGGCGGGGAAGCAUUCUCCCUGUGACAACCCCACUGAGCAGCAGAUCAUGCAACUGCUUCAUGAGAUGCAGAACCUCCAGGAGCACCCAGGCUUGGGCAGCAGCCCUUGCAUUCCUUUUUUGUACCAGACUGAUGAGAACAAUGAGGUGAAGAUCACCAUCAUCUAAAAGCCGGCCACUGUCAGCAAAACCUGGGGAAGUGGGGCUGGAGGCUCUGCCCCUACCAUGUCCCUACCACCCCUUCCCAGUCAACCCUUUACCCUCACAGUAGCAAGCAUAAGACCCCUGUCUAAUGUGGGGAGACAGGUGGAGAUGAGGUGAAGAUCACCAUAAUCUAAAAGGCCACUAAAUAAAA
rnacentral:lncRNA from 1 species